rnacentral:rRNA from 1 species
UCAAGCUACUAAGGGCAUACGGUGGAUGCCUAGGCGCCAGGAGCCGAAGAAGGACGCGGUAAGCUGCGAAAAGCCACGGGGAACUGCAAGCGAGUAUUGAUCCGUGGAUAUCCGAAUGGGGAAACCCGGCCAUCGUAAUGGAUGGUCAUCCGCAAGGAAGGGAACCCGGGGAACUGAAACAUCUAAGUACCCGGAGGAAAAGAAAUCAAACGAGAUGCCCACAGUAGCGGCGAGCGAAGAGGGCAGAGCCCAAACCUGUAAGCUACGGCUUAUGGGGGUUGAGGACUGACGUAAUUAAGGCCAGGCUUAGCUGAACUACCUGGGAAGGUAGGCUAGAUAAGGUAAGAGCCCUGUAAGCGAAAGGCAGAGCCUUAAGGUCAGUAUCCAGAGUACCACGGAGCACGAGGAAUUCUGUGGGAAGCAGGGGGGACCACCCUCCAAGGCUAAAGACUAACUGGCGACCGAUAGCGCAUAGUACCGUGAGGGAAAGGUGAAAAGAACCCCGGGAGGGGAGUGAAAUAGUACCUGAAACCGUAUGUCUACAAGCAGUCGGAGCGAAAGCGACGGCGUGCCUAUUGAAGAAUGAACCAACGAGUUAUCUGCACUAGCGAGGUUAAGUGGAAGACACGGAGCCGUAGCGAAAGCGAGUCUGAAAAGGGCGGCGAGUUAGUGUAGGUAGACCCGAAACCGCAGUGAUCUACCCAUGUCCAGGUUGAAGCGCAGGUAAAAAUGCGUGGAGGACCGAACCGGUGAGCGUUGAAAAGCUUUCGGAUGAGAUGUGGGUAGGGGUGAAAUUCCAAUCGAACGCGGAGAUAGCUGGUUCUCCCCGAAAUAGCUUUAGGGCUAGCCUCAGGUAGUAAGUAUAGGCGGUAGAGCACUGAUCGGGCUAGGGGCCAUAAAGGUUACCGAACCCUGUCAAACUCCGAAUGGAUAUACUGCAGAGCCUGGGAGUCAGACUACGAGUGAUAAGAUCCGUGGUCAAAAGGGAAACAGCCCAGACCACCGGCUAAGGUCCCAAAUGCCGUACUAAGUGGAAAAGGAUGUGGGGAUUCAUAAACAACCAGGAUGUUGGCUCAGAAGCAGCCAUCAUUUAAAGAGUGCGUAAUAGCUCACUGGUCGAGAGUCCCUGCGCCGAAAAUUUCCGGGGCUAAAGUACGGAACCGAAGCCGUGGCUGUGUACGUAAGUGCACGGGGUAGGGGAGCGUUGCCACAGGGGUGAAGCUGGUCUGGAAGGACUGGUGGACUUGUGGGAAGUGAGAAUGUUGGUAUGAGUAGCGAAAAGAAAGGUGAGAAUCCUUUCCACCGAAAGCAUAAGGAUUCCUGAGCAACGAUCGUCGUCUCAGGGUAAGUCGGGACCUAAUCCGAGGCAAAGAGCGUAGGAGAUGGACAACAGGUUGAUAUUCCUGUACCGGCAGCAAUUGUUUGAGCGAAGGAGUGACACAGAAGGGCAGGCAGGCGCGAGACUGGAUUGUCGCGUGCAAGCGUGUAGGGUAGUGUACAGGCAAAUCCGUACACUGAAAGCCUGAGGCGUUACGCGGAGCGAGCAGAGAUGCGAGCGAAGCUGCUGAUCCCACACUGUCGAGAAAAGCUUCUAGUGAGAGAGCUGCCGCCCGUACCGUAAACCGACACAGGUAUGCGGGGAGAGAAUCCUAAGGUGCGCGGGAGAACCCUCGUUAAGGAACUCGGCAAAAUGUACCCGUAACUUCGGGAUAAGGGUAGCCGUCUUGGUGAAGGAGCUUGCCUCUGGAGCUAAAGGCGGUCGCAGAGAAGAGGCCCAAGCGACUGUUUACCACAAACACAGGUGCCUGCUAAAGCGAAAGCUGACGUAUAGGUGCUGACACCUGCCCAGUGCUGGAAGGUUAAGGAAGGAUGUCCGGGCAACCAAAGCAUUCGACCGAAGCCCCAGUGAACGGCGGCCGUAACUAUAACGGUCCUAAGGUAGCGAAAUUCCUUGUCGGGUAAGUUCCGACCCGCACGAAAGGUGUAACGAUUUGGGCACUGUCUCAACGAGGGACCCGGUGAAAUUGAAAUACCUGUGAAGAUGCAGGUUACCCGCGACUGGACAGAAAGACCCCAUGGAGCUUUACUGUAACCUGACAUUGGGUUUUGUUGUAUUACGUACAGGAUAGGUGGGAGGCUUGGAAGGCUGGACGCUAGUCUGGCUGGAGCCGUCGUUGGGAUACCACCCUUGAUACAACGGAAUUCUAACCGAGAGAGUAACGAAAUCCGGGACAGUGUCAGGCGGGCAGUUUGACUGGGGCGGUCGCCUCCGAAAGAGUA